rnacentral:lncRNA from 1 species
GAAAAGACAUUUCCUUACUCAAGAGAAGCACACCUUGUAUCUGUUAGAUAAUGAGGAACAAAAAGAUUCAGUGUCUUUUUGUUUUUUGGAAUGUACAAGUACCCGGCCACGUCCCUUUAUUUGUUUAUUUAUUGAUCUUAGCCUUUUUUUAACUGACUUUAAUAGUUUGUUCUUAUGUUUUACUGUUUCACCACUGUCCAAGGUUAUGGUGAGGUUUCAGAUCCCGCUAACAUGUUUAACCUGCCAC